rnacentral:rRNA from 1 species
GACGAACGCUGGCGGCGUGCCUAAUGCAUGCAAGUCGAACGCUUCUUUCCUCCCGAGUGCUUGCACUCAAUUGGAAAGAGGAGUGGCGGACGGGUGAGUAACACGUGGGUAACCUACCCAUCAGAGGGGGAUAACACUUGGAAACAGGUGCUAAUACCGCAUAACAGUUUAUGCCGCAUGGCAUAAGAGUGAAAGGCGCUUUCGGGUGUCGCUGAUGGAUGGACCCGCGGUGCAUUAGCUAGUUGGUGAGGUAACGGCUCACCAAGGCCACGAUGCAUAGCCGACCUGAGAGGGUGAUCGGCCACACUGGGACUGAGACACGGCCCAGACUCCUACGGGAGGCAGCAGUAGGGAAUCUUCGGCAAUGGACGAAAGUCUGACCGAGCAACGCCGCGUGAGUGAAGAAGGUGUUCGGAUCGUAAAACUCUGUUGUUAGAGAAGAACAAGGACGUUAGUAACUGAACGUCCCCUGACGGUAUCUAACCAGAAAGCCACGGCUAACUACGUG